GUGAGGAAUAUUGGUCAAUGGGCGAGAGCCUGAACCAGCCAAGUCGCGUGAAGGAUGAAGGUUUUAUGAAUUGUAAACUUCUUUUGCAGGGGAAUAAAGUACGGUACGUGUACCGUUUUGUAUGUACUCUGCGAAUAAGGAUCGGCUAACUCCGUGCCAGCAGCCGCGGUAAUACGGAGGAUCCAAGCGUUAUCCGGAUUUAUUGGGUUUAAAGGGUGCGCAGGCGGGUUGAUAAGUCAGCGGUGAAAGUUUGCAGCUUAACUGUAAAAUUGCCGUUGAAACUGUCGAUCUUGAGUGCAAAUGAGGUAAGCGGAAUGUGUUGUGUAGCGGUGAAAUGCUUAGAUAUAACACAGAACACCAGUGGCGAAGGCGACUUUCUGGACGAAAACUGACGCUGAGGCGCGAAAGCCAGGGGAGCGAACGGGAUUAGAAACCCGUGUAGUCC
rnacentral:rRNA from 1 species